rnacentral:rRNA from 1 species
UGGCUUAGGAUGAACGCUGGCGGCGUGCCUAACACAUGCAAGUCGAGCGGAGAUGAUCGGAGAUUCUCGGAUGAUCUUAUAUCUAGCGGCGGAUGGGUGAGUAACACGUGGGUAACCUGCCCUGCACAGGGGGAUAACAGCUGGAAACGGCUGUUAAUACCGCAUAUGCACACGCUGCCGCAUGGCAGGGGGUGGAAAGAUUUAUCGGUGCAGGAUGGGCCCGCGUCGGAUUAACUAGUUGGCAGGGUAACGGCCUACCAAGGUGAUGAUCCGUAGCCGACCUGAGAGGGUGACCGGCCACAUUGGGACUGAGACACGGCCCAAACUCCUACGGGAGGCAGCAGUGGGGGAUAUUGCACAAUGGGCGCAAGCCCUGAUGCAGCGACGCCGCGUGAAGGAAGAAGUAUUUCGGUAUGUAAACUUCUAUCAGCGGGGAAGAAGAUGACGGUACCCGACUAAGAAGCCCCGGCUAACUACGUGCCAGCCGCAGC